CUGAGGAUGAUAUAGAAGCACAUAUUUUGGUACUACACAUCUGUGCCUUAAGCUGGUUUCAGAUUUUCAGGUGCUUCAGGGAUUAACUAGUCCUUUAAAAGUAAUCAUCACCCAUCCAAUUCCCCAUGUCAGAUGUCUUUUGGAUUUCUUGCUGAACAAUAGAAGAUGGAAAAUGCUUACCUUUCGGUUUCCAAACACUUGUUCUCUGGGACUUGCACAUACAAGCCUGGAGCAUAUCCAUGGUCAGCUUUUAUAUUGCUUCGCUUCUGAGUUAUUCUGGUGUUUUUAUGGUUGGCAGGGGUAUGAUGAGUACAUGAAUUUGGUUUUGGUUUUGGAAGAUGUUGAAGAAGUCAAUAUCAAGAAAAAGAGCAGAAAGUCUUUAGGAAGGAUUCUUCUUAAGGGAGACAACAUUACUCUGAUGAUGAACACGUAACAAAUUGGUAACCUCAAGAGAUAAACAUUCGCAUCAUGAUUGAUGAGAAAUAUUUCUUCAGCUAAGUAAUUGGCAUAGCAACUUCACUUUCAGAGAUUAUUCUGUAGGUUCUACUGUUUUUAUUCAUGAAUAUUUUCAUGGCAAUAAUUGCUAUGAAACAAUGCACCAUCUCUUCAACUACUGAGCUUUCCUUUAUAUUUGCAGCUGUAAUUUGGGAUAGCAAUGUCUCUGACAUGAAGUUUGGAUGGCUUGAUCUCUUUGCAUCAAGAAUGUCAAGUUACCUAAAUGUAUUAUUCACAAGGUGACUACAAGUAGACACAUUGGAUGGUGCUGGGCCCAUCAAAGCUUGAUCUGUUUUUUGUUUGUUGUUCAGUUGAGGAUUUGUAGAUUGUUCCGUUCGAUCCUCUGUCCUUGGAUCAUGUAUGGGUGUUUUGACAUGUACUUAUUUCAUUCAUAAUAAAUUACUUUCCAUUAUUAGUGCUUUA